UUGGGUGAGAAUUCCAUCAGAUUUUAACCAGGUCCCCUACUGAGUGUCUUACAUACUUGAAGUCAAGGUGUCAGCCAACUGAGCACCCAUGUGGAGUCCCGACUAAGGCAAAUUAGAGUGUGGACUUCCUGGCUAAUUACCCUUAUCCUGACUCCCAGAGAGCCGACCGCCUUCUCAAUAACUUACAGACUUGCACAUUUAUAUUUUUAAAUCAUCAAGAAUGGGAAAAUUUGAUUAACAUGAAGUCUUCAAAUGCCUGCUUCAAACGGGAGACCAGCUGAAGCCAAGAACAGAAACCCUGAAUUGUGUACUGAAUACCAGACAAGCAUUAACACAUUGGCUUCUUUGGUACCAGGUAAUUAAAAUGUGUAAUUUGAUCUUAAUUAAAUUACAGGCUACCCCAAGACCUUGAUCAGUGACCUUUUGGCUUCCUCCACCCUAUGUGAAGAAAACAAAUAGACUUUAGAAAUAUAACCCCUUCAUUCUCCUUCCUCUUCCCCUACUUCAUCCUACCCCUGUAGACAUUUACUUCCAUUGGGUACAGUGUCAACAUACAUCAAAUGUGCCAAUUAUAAUGAAUGCUAUCUCCCAACU